CCUACGGGUGGCAGCAGUGGGGAAUAUUGCACAAUGGGGGAAACCCUGAUGCAGCGAAGCCGCGUGAGUGAAGAAGGAAUUCGUUAUGUAAAGCUCUAUCAGCAGGGAAGAAAAUGACGGUACCUGAGUAAGACGCCCCGGCUAACUACGGGCCAGCAGCCCCGGUAAUACGUAGGGGGCAAGCGUUAUACGGAUUUACUGGGUGUAAAGGGAGCGUAGACGGCAGUGCAAGUCUGGAGUGAAAGGCGGGGGCGCAACCCCCGGACUGCUCUGGAAACUGUACGGCUAGAGUGCAGGAGAGGUAAGUGGAAUUCCUAGUGUAGCGGUGAAAUGCGUAGAUAUUAGGAGGAACACCAGUGGCGAAGGCGGCUUACUGGACUGUAACUGACGUUGAGGCUCGAAAGCGUGGGGAGCAAACAGGAUUAGAUACCCCGGUAGUC
rnacentral:rRNA from 1 species